rnacentral:rRNA from 1 species
GAAUAUUGGGCAAUGGACGCAAGUCUGACCCAGCCAUGCCGCGUGGAGGAUGAAGGUCCUCUGGAUUGUAAACUUCUUUUAUUUGGGAAGAAAUGCCAAUUUUCUAAUUGGUUUGACGGUACCAGAUGAAUAAGCACCGGCUAACUCCGUGCCAGCAGCCGCGGUAAUACGGAGGGUGCAGGCGUUAUCCGGAUUCACUGGGUUUAAAGGGUGCGUAGGCGGGUUGGUAAGUCCGUGGUGAAAUCUCCGAGCUUAACACGGAAACUGCCGUGGAUACUAUCAGUCUUGAAUAUCGUUGAGGUAAGCGGAAUAUGUCAUGUAGCGGUGAAAUGCUUAGAUAUGACAUAGAACACCAAUUGCGAGGGCAGCUUACUGAACGGUCAUUGACGCUGAGGCACGAAAGCGUGGGGAGCAAACAGA